rnacentral:tRNA from 1 species
GGGGGCGUAGCUCAGGGGUUAGAGCAGGCGGCUCAUAACCGCUUGGUCGUUGGUUCGAACCCAACCGCCCCCACCA